AACGAACGCUGGCGGCAGGCUUAACACAUGCAAGUCGAACGCCCCGCAAGGGGAGUGGCAGACGGGUGAGUAACGCGUGGGAAUCUACCCAUCCCUACAGCAUAACGCAUGGAAACGUGUGCUAAUACCGUAUACGCCCUACGGGGGAAGGAUGUAUCGGGGAUGGAUGAGCCCGCGGGGGAUUAGCUAGUUGGUGGGGUAAAGGCCUACCAAGGCGACGAUCCAUUGCUGGUCUGAGAGGAUGAUCAGCCACAUUGGGACUGGGACCCGGCCCAAACUCGUACGGGAGGCAGCAGUGGGGAAUAUUGGACAGUGGGCGCAAGCCUGCUCCAGCCAUGCCGCGUGAGUGAUGAAGGCCUUAGGGUUGUAAAGCUCUUUCACCGGAGAAGAUAAUGACGGUAUCCGGAGAAGAAGCCCCGCCUAACUUCGU
rnacentral:rRNA from 1 species